UACGAAGGGGGCUAGCGUUGUUCGGAAUUACUGGGCGUAAAGCGCGCGUAGGCGGUUUUCCAAGUCGGGCGUGAAAGCCCCGGGCUCAACCCGGGAAAUGCGCUCGAAACUUGAAGACUGGAGGCCGGAAGAGGGUAGUGGAAUUCCAGGUGUAGCGGUGAAAUGCGUAGAUAUCUGGAGGAACACCGGUGGCGAAGGUGGCUUUCUGGACAAAUACCGACGCUGAGGCACGAAAGCUAGGGGAGCAAACAGG
rnacentral:rRNA from 1 species